UACGGAGGGAGCUAGCGUUAUUCGGAAUUACUGGGCGUAAAGCGCACGUAGGCGGCUUUGUAAGUUAGAGGUGAAAGCCUGGAGCUCAACUCCGGGACUGCCAUUGAAACUGUUGGACUUGAGUACGAGAGAGGUGAGUGGAAUUCCCAGUGUAGAGGUGAAAUUCGUAGAUAUUGGGAAGAACACCGGUGGCGAAGGCGGCUCACUGGCUCGUAACUGACGCUCAGGCGCGACAGCGUGGGGAUCAAACAGG
rnacentral:rRNA from 1 species